GCGUAUGCAAUCUACCUUUUACAGAGGGAUAGCCCAGAGAAAUUUGGAUUAAUACCUCAUAGUAUAUCACAAUCGCAUGAUUGAGUUAUUAAAGUCACAACGGUAAAAGAUGAGCAUGCGUCCCAUUAGCUAGUUGGUAAGGUAACGGCUUACCAAGGCUACGAUGGGUAGGGGUCCUGAGAGGGAGAUCCCCCACUACUGGUACUGAGACACGGACCAAAUACAUACGGGAGGCAGCAGUGAGGAAUAUUGGACAAUGGGCGCAAGCCUGAUCCAGCCAUGCCGCGUGCAGGAUGACGGUCCUAUGGAUUGUAAACUGCUUUUAUACGAGAAGAAACACUGCUUCGUGAAGCAGCUUGACGGUAUCGUAAGAAUAAGGAUCGGCUAACUCCGUGCCAGCAGCCGCGGUAAUACGGAGGAUCCAAGCGUUAUCCGGAAUCAUUGGGUUUAAAGGGUCCGUAGGCGGGUUUGGUAAGUCAGUGGUGAAAGCCCAUCGCUCAACGGUGGAACGGCCAUUGAUACUGCCAGACUUGAAUUAUUAGGAAGUAACUAGAAUAUGUAGUGUAGCGGUGAAAUGCUUAGAGAUUACAUGGAAUACCAAUUGCGAAGGCAGGGUUACUACUAAUUGAUUGACGCUGAUGGACGAAAGC
rnacentral:rRNA from 1 species